rnacentral:rRNA from 1 species
GUGAGGAAUAUUGGUCAAUGGGGGCAACCCUGAACCAGCCAAGUCGCGUGAAGGAUGAAGGUCUUAUGGAUUGUAAACUUCUUUUAUACAGGAAUAAAUUGGGGGACGUGUCCCCUUUUGCAUGUACUGUAUGAAUAAGGAUCGGCUAACUCCGUGCCAGCAGCCGCGGUAAUACGGAGGAUCCGAGCGUUAUCCGGAUUUAUUGGGUUUAAAGGGUGCGCAGGCGGGAUGUUAAGUCGGCGGUGAAAUUUUGCAGCUCAACUGUAAAAGUGCCUUCGAUACUGGCUUCCUUGAGUGUGGAUGAAGUAGGCGGAAUUUGUGGUGUAGCGGUGAAAUGCUUAGAUAUCACGAGGAACUCCGAUUGCGCAGGCAGCUUACUAAGCCACAACUGACGCUCAUGCACGAAGGCGUGGGGAUCAAACA